GCAAAAGCAUGCAGUUCAAAAGCUAAAGCUCCCAUUGGAGAACAGAAAAUUUAAUGAGCUUUUAAUGGAAUGCAAUGCUCAGAGUAGUAAAUUAUUUGUUAGUUGACGAUGCAAUCAGCAUGCUGAUUAAGGUUGCUUGGUUUUUUACUAAACAUUAACUGAAUGAAAACGGUUAGUCCUUGUUGUUCUGCUUGGGGGGCUUUCGUGAAGCAAAUGGACUUUCAGAACAGAGAUUGUCAAUAAAGGUCACCUGGUGCUUUACACAACAUGUAGGAAGAUAUUAAUGUCUGAAGAGCUUGUGGGCUUCAGUGGACUUACUCUAGAUUUACGCUGAUUUGUCUGAGCACAUGUGCAUCUACAGAAUUCAAUUUGAAGUCCUCUACAGAAAAAAACAGACCUUUAAGAGGGUUCCAGAAUCACCCGAGGAGGAGAAACUCAGCAGGACCAGAUACUUCUAAUAGAAACAAGUAGCAUGGAGAAUGGACACAUUAUUCAAACAUGUGACUGCAUGAACUAUAACAGUUACCUUUGCCUCCACCCCCCAAACUGUAUUGUUGGCUGUACUCCUAUGGUGCAUCUUUUUCCCAAUUAGUUUGGGGUAGGGGCCAUAUCUACUCUACUUCUACUCUGUAUGUGUGUCUGCAUGCAUGCGCACAUGCAUGCAUAGCAUCCAAGAUAAAAAAGCACCAAUCCUGUACUAUAUAUUUAUACUGUACUGUAACUAGGGGUCUAAUUAAAUUGCAGGGAAACUUGCCAAUUUUCAUGGGUUGAUCAUGGAGUAAAUUCUGAUUCUGCAGUCAUUUUGCGGCAGCCCUGCCCCUCAGCACUGAUUGGCGAAAAGAUCCCCGGAGAGAAGAAGAGGGUCUGGAGGGCAGCUGCCAUUUUGAUUGCUGGCUGCCCUUCAAGUGCCCUUCACUUUGGCACUGAUUGGGGGACAGGCCUCUGUGGGGGCAGGAGGGACAACGGGGCAGGUGCCAUCCUGUCUGCUACCCUGUGCUGCCCCGCCAGCUGGUGCUUUCCCCUCCUGGCAGCAAGGACCACUGGUUUCCACUAGGCAGCCAGCAUUUUAUUUUUAUUAAGGGGUUUUUUGUUGUUGAUUUGGCAGAUUUCACGAACAGUCCUGGAUUUUGCAGUUUCCAUGAAAUCCGCAAAACCGCAAAUUAAGUAGGCCUCUAAUAAUGAUAUGUUGUUGCAAGUAACUGAGAGUGGUAUCAUUAUAUCAUACCACAAUGUUCUAAUAUGUGAAAAGCUGGAUUAACUAGAGCAUAAGGGAGACCAAAUCAUAAUGUAAUGCUUUAAAAGUUCAUUCUGGAUUCUGGUUGGGGUUGCUCAAUGGGAACUGAGUGCAGUUAUGAUGUAAGCAGUGUGCAUAGAAAGAAAUGCAGCUGCUAGCCAGGGAGGAGGGAUACUUUGUUUUGGUACUGUUUUAAUUAAGUAUUGAAUUAUUUUGGAAAAAUAAUUUGUAGCUGGACUAAUUUGUUUUACUUUUCCUCUUACGUUCCUGGAGAACAAUGGUAACCUGACUGAAAUGAAGCCUUUGGGCAGGUUUCACAAUAAGAGAUCUAGGUUAAGUUAAAAAAUGGAAAUGAGUUGACUUUUAGUUGUUUCAAUAGUUUUUUUCUGUAGCAAGGGUGGAAUUAGUUUGAAUUUGUCAUUGCUUUGGCAGGGAAAAUAAACAUUAAAUGGAAGCAAAGUCAA